AUUGAACGCUGGCGGCAGGCUUAACACAUGCAAGUCGAGCGGGGUGAUGGUGCUUGCACUAUCGCUUAGCGGCGGACGGGUGAGUAAUGCUUAGGAAUCUGCCUAUUAGUGGGGGACAACAUCUCGAAAGGGAUGCUAAUACCGCAUACGUCCUACGGGAGAAAGCAGGGGAUCACUUGUGACCUUGUGCUAAUAGAUGAGCCUAAGUCUGAUUAGCUAGUUGGUGGGGUAAAGGCCUACCAAGGCGACGAUCUGUAGCGGGUCUGAGAGGAUGAUCCGCCACCCUGGGACUGAGACACGGCCCAGACUCCUACGGGAGUCAGCAGUGGGGAAUAUUGGACAGUGGGGGGAACCCUGAUCCAGCCAUGCCGCGUGUGUGAAGAAGGCCUUAUGGUUGUAAAGCACUUUAAGCGAGGAGGAGGCUCUUUUGGUUAAUACCCAAGAUGAGUGGACGUUACUCGCAGAAUAAGCACCGGCUAACUCUGUGCCAGCCGCCGCCGUAA
rnacentral:rRNA from 1 species